CUCUCUUUAGAAAAUUGUUUGAAAUUGGUCUUUACGUGUUGGUUAAUUAGAGAAGAAAGGGUUUUAUUCAGAAAUUGGGUUUUUUAAUUGAGCAGUCAUCUUCUCCCCCACUCGUGGCGUUGCACCUCUUUUCUGCCGGCCAAGAGCAUCACCAACGACGCCACCUACGUUGGACGUAGCAGCUCGAAACCUUCGUCCCCCUUUUUCGCGCGCGAGAGGAGUCUUGUCUAUUCCGGCGACACCAACGACAUGAACCAGGAUCGCCACCGCCGCGAUUCUCCGCCUCGAUCCUUUGCAUCUUCUCCGGCUGGCUGAGACCCGUGCCGGUUGCAGCAGCCAACCACUCAUGCUGACGCUGCCACCAAGAGCACCACCAUACUACCCGCCGGACUGUCGUCGACGACGCCCGCGGUUCAGAACGGAAAAGGAACCAAUCUUCUGGGCAAGGGAACUCGUCGCAACAACCUCGGCACCGAGGACGCGAAUGAACACACCAGUCAUCUAAUAAGGAUCGGUCUCUGAUAUUGUUGGACAACAGAUUUCUUCACUAAAGGGUUAAAGAGAUGUUGGUGAAUGAAUGUACAUAAAGAUGAAGAGUGUGAUGGUUGGUGGCAGCGUAAGAAGGGGUAUGAAAAUGAUAAUGGUUCUGUGUUGACAUGGGUGGCGUAGAGGGGAGAAGAGGAUGAAGAUAGAUUGGGGUUAUAGGCCGAGAUAAAAGAGAUAUUCUCUUUUUUUUUAAUAGUUGUAAAUUAUUUUAUUUCCC
rnacentral:sRNA from 1 species